rnacentral:rRNA from 1 species
CAGGCCUAACACAUGCAAGUCGAACGAUGCUUUCGGGCAUAGUGGCGCACGGGUGCGUAACGCGUGGGAAUCUGCCCUUUGGUCUGGGAUAGCUGUUGGAAACGACAGCUAAUACCGGAUGAUGACGUAAGUCCAAAGAUUUAUCGCCAGAGGAUGAGCCCGCGUCGGAUUAGCUAGUUGGUGGGGUAAAGGCCUACCAAGGCGACGAUCCGUAGCUGGUCUGAGAGGAUGAUCAGCCACACUGGGACUGAGACACGGCCCAGACUCCUACGGGAGGCAGCAGUGGGGAAUAUUGGACAAUGGGCGAAAGCCUGAUCCAGCAAUGCCGCGUGAGUGAUGAAGGCCUUAGGGUUGUAAAGCUCUUUUACCCGGGAUGAUAAUGACAGUACCGGGAGAAUAAGCUCCGGCUAACUCCGUGCCAGCAGCCGCGGUAAU